GCACAAGUGGUGGUCAUUAUUAUUGGGCCUAAAGCGUCCGUAGCUGGCCUGUUAGAUGCCUGGGUAAAUCGAUGCGCUCAACGUAUCGAACUCCGGGUAGACCGGCAGGCUUGGGACCGGGAGAGGCGUGAGCUACUCGGGGGGUAGGGGUAAAAUCCUGUAAUCCUCCGGGGAGGACCAGUGGCGAAGGCGUCACGCUAGAACGGCUCCGACAGUGAGGGACGAAGCCCAGGGGCGCAAACCGG
rnacentral:rRNA from 1 species